rnacentral:rRNA from 1 species
CCUACGGGGGGCAGCAGUGAGGAAUAUUGGUCAAUGGACGAGAGUCUGAACCAGCCAAGUAGCGUGAAGGAUGACUGCCCUAUGGGUUGUAAACUUCUUUUAUAUGGGAAUAAAACGUUCCACGUGUGGGAUUUUGUAUGUACUAUAUGAAUAAGGAUCGGCUAACUCCGUGCCAGCAGCCGCGGUAAUACGGAGGAUCCGAGCGUUAUCCGGAUUUAUUGGGUUUAAAGGGAGCGUAGGUGGAUUGUUAAGUCAGUUGUGAAAGUUUGCGGCUCAACCGUAAAAUUGCAGUUGAAACUGGCAGUCUUGAGUACAGUAGAGGUGGGCGGAAGUCGUGGUGUAGCGGUGAAAUGCUUAGAUAUCACGAAGAACUCCGAUUGCGAAGGCAGUUCACUGGACUGCAACUGACACUGAGGCUCGGAAGUGUGGGUAUCAAACAGGAUUAGAUACCCCAGUAGUC